UUUGGGGCUCUGGCAUUCAGUUAUAUGACCUUUUCCAGAGAGUUAGAUCUCUUCAGGGAACUCGUACCUUUGGAUGUAAGAGAGGUGGAAGUGCUGAGAAGGUGGUCAGUGGCAGAAAGAAAGAAUGAUGGAUGGGGACCCGCGGACAGUGAGAAGCGCAACCUAAACAGGGAAAAGGAGCACAGUAUGCAGCUACUUGGAGGGUGUUGAUUGAAAACUUCGAUCUCCCCACCCCAUUCACGGUUGACUUGACUGAUUUCUCACAUCGUUCACAGAGAAUAUUUCAAUUAAGGUCCCUUUAGAUGGAAUAUAAUACAGCAGAAGCCUUUUCAUCAAAAGGAUUAAUGCCUGUGUUAUCCUUUCUGCAAUAAAACAGGAAGCUAAGUGGUGGAGGCCACGAACACUUCAAACCUGGAUUCCACAAUUCUACAUUAAGUGCUGGAGUUUUUAUCACUCUGCUGCAGGAAAGCCUUUGCCAAUGCUUACAAGGAACUGUUUAUCCCUGCUUCUCUGGGUCCUGUUUGAUGGAGGUCUCCUAACACCACUUCAACCACAGCCACAACAGACUUUAGCCACAGAGCCAAGGGAAAAUGUUAUCCACCUUCCAGGGCGACGGUCACAUUUCCAACGAGUUAAACGUGGCUGGGUAUGGAAUCAAUUUUUUGUGCUGGAAGAAUACAUGGGCUCCGAGCCUCAGUAUGUGGGAAAG